UUCGUUGUCUGUUCGACCUUG
rnacentral:miRNA from 2 species